GCAGCAUUGCAGAAGCAGAGGUUGAAAUACCCCGGUUGCCAUUGGCACUUCUGCCCUGGCUUUGCUGCAGAUUUACCAGGCAGGUUCACAUGGAUGAUGCUGAACACAUUCAUACCACUUGGAGAGCUAACUUAAUGAAUCCCAUUUUGCAGAGGGCAGCUACAUGAGGGACUGACAGGCUGAGAUGAUGGUGCCUGCAUAUUGAAGACUCAGUGAAGAGUUUGGAUUACUUGCCAUUAUCAUAAUUUUAGAUUGGAGUCAAGGAUAAAAUGAUGGACACCUUAUUCAACCACUUCCUUCAAAAAUGAUGCCUGUAUCUGUGGUGAGUAUAACAAAAUGUGUGUGUGUAAUUACAAAAUGUAUAAUAUGUUUUCAUCCACCUAUUGCUUUGGCUAUGUGUUAUAAACUUUGUCAGGCUAUUCACAGAAAAGAAAUCCUACCACUGACAUAUUGAAAUUGUAGUGUUUUACCCUUCUUUAACAGGGGUGGAUUAAAUGGAAAGACCAGUGUCUCACCAUCCUGCCACAGAUGUACCAAAUCUUUCUUUAGAUAAAAAAAGAUGGAUGUUGAGAGGUACAGCACAAAAGGAAUCAAUUAUUGUUUUUUUCCCCUAAUUUACUCUUUUAUAUGCUGAGUAGAAAACAGAAAACUUGACAUUGACUGUGAGUAGUUGACUGCAAAAUUAAAUUACGCAGAAUUUUAUUAUAUAUAGAGGCAAAGGGUUACACUGAGAAAAUGGAUCAGAUUAAAACAAACAUUACAGUUUUUGAAACAUUCCUAGGGUGAAAAAAUAAUGUUGAUUUUUGUGCAUCCAACCUGAUAUGUCCUCAAAAUGACCUGAUUUUGAGUUGGUAUCAAA